GGUCGUAUGGGGUAGAGGUUAUCCCCGUGGAUUUUGAUUAGCUUUCGAGCCAAGUUUAAGUUUCCAUUGACCCCGGUUCGAUCCCGGGUACGACCU